CCCUUAGAUGUUCUGGGCGGCCCGCGCACUACAAUGGCGUGUGCAGCGAGUGCCGAAGUAGAGUUUUCCGAGGUAUUCUUGCAAUGCUCGUUUUGAUGGGGAUAGACCCUUGCAACUGUUGGUUUUGAACGAGGAAUACCUUGUAAGCGCGGGUCAUCAUCCCGCGCUGAAUACGUCCCUGCCCUUUGUACACACCGCCCGUCGCUCCUACCGAUUGAGUGGUCCGGUGAGGCUUUGGGAUCUGAGCGGAAAGAGCGUUUCGCUGUUUCUGCUCGGAAAACUCAGUCGAACCUUAUCAUUUAGAGGAAGGAGAAGUCGUAACA
rnacentral:rRNA from 1 species